CCUUCGAUAGCUCAGUUGGAAGAGCGUGGGACUGUAAUGGUUACCUGAUCAUCCCAAGGUCACUGGUUCGACCCCGGUUCGAAGGA
rnacentral:tRNA from 1 species